GAUGAAGAACGCAGCGAAAUGCGAUAAGUAGUGUGAAUUGCAGAAUUCAGUGAAUCAUCGAAUCUUUGAACGCACAUUGCGCCCCUCGGUAUUCCGUGGGGCAUGCCUGUUCGAGCGUCAUUUACCCCUCAAGCACUGCUUGGUGUUGGGCGUCUGUCCCGCUUCGCGCGCGGACUCGCCCCAAAGGUAUUGGCAGCGGUCGUGCCAGCUUCUCGCGCAGCACAUUGCGCUUCUCGAGGCGGUCGAUCGGCGUCCUCGAAGCUCACCUCCACCGUUUGACCUCGGAUCAGGUAGGGAUACCCGCUGAACUUAAGCAUAUCAAUAAGCGGAGGA
rnacentral:misc_RNA from 1 species